rnacentral:rRNA from 1 species
AUUGAACGCUGGCGGCAUGCCUUACACAUGCAAGUCGAACGGCAGCACGGGAGCAAUCCUGGUGGCGAGUGGCGAACGGGUGAGUAAUAUAUCGGAACGUGCCCAGUCGUGGGGGAUAACGUAGCGAAAGCUACGCUAAUACCGCAUACGAUCUAAGGAUGAAAGCGGGGGAUUCGCAAGAACCUCGCGCGAUUGGAGCGGCUGAUAUCAGAUUAGGUUGUUGGUGAGGUAAAAGCUCACCAAGCCGACGAUCUGUAGCUGGUUUGAGAGAACGACCGGCCACACUGGGACUGAGACACGGCCCAGACUCCUACGGGAGGCAGCAGUGGGGAAUUUUGGACAAUGGGCGAAAGCCUGAUCCAGCAAUGCCGCGUGCAGGAAGAAGGCCU